rnacentral:rRNA from 1 species
UGGGGAAUAUUGCACAAUGGGGGAAACCCUGAUGCAGCGACGCCGCGUGAGCGAGGAAGUAUUUCGGUAUGUAAAGCUCUGUCAGCAGGGAAGAAGAAUGACGGUACCUGAAGAAGAAGCACCGGCUAAAUACGUGCCAGCAGCCGCGGUAAUACGUAUGGUGCAAGCGUUAUCCGGAUUUACUGGGUGUAAAGGGAGCGCAGGCGGUACUGCAAGUCUGGUGUGAAAGCCCGGGGCUCAACCCCGGGACUGCACUGGAAACUGCAGGACUGGAGUGUCGGAGGGGUAAGCGGAAUUCCUGGUGUAGCGGUGAAAUGCGUAGAUAUCAGGAGGAACACCGGUGGCGAAGGCGGCUUACUGGACGAUGACUGACGCUGAGGCUCGAAAGCGUGGGGAGCAA